UAGUAUUUAGGACCACCCACAUCCAUCUGCUUCAUUCUCCUCGCCUCGCCUCGCCUCGCCGCUCUUCUCCUCAUCUCCAGCUCCAACCAACCUUUGUUGUCUUGUCCCGUCUGCCAGCCUGCCUGCUUCCCAGAGUUCUUAUUCUCAUCUGAAUUCGUGAUUUCACUUUAUUUGGCUGGCCCCGUCAGUUUCGGCUGCUGUGUUCGUUCUUGAUUUGCCGGCGAGGUCUCCGAUUCGAGGCUUGCUCCUUUUCUUUCUGGCCCAGUUCAUGUGUUUGUUUUAUUUCGGCGUGCCGGUGAUGAUGCAAAAGCAUCGGUGAAUUCUGGAUGAACGCGCUUGCGCACCACCGGUGCGCACAGCUCUGGUGAUAUCCACUGCGUGAUACUCUGAGGCACACAUCCUUUGAAUUCGUGGUUUCAUUUUAUUUGGCUGCAGGUUGAGUUCCGGUUUCGUCUUUCAGUUUCACCAUCCGCGCUGCGUGAGCUUCGGCUGCUGUGUUCGUUCUUGGUCAUGCCGGUGAGAUCUCCCGCUUCGAGGCUUCUUUUUUCGUGGUUUGUUUCCGCGUGCCGAUGAUGAUGCACAAGCACCGGUGAAUUCUGGAUGAUUGCGCUUGCGCACCAUCGCUGCGCACAGCUCUCGUGAUAUCCACUGCCACGGGAAAAAAAUCGGCACCGAGCUGGUUACGGCCGUAAAUGUUACAUUCAGGUUUCAAGAAUGGGCUAGAAGAACCUUCAAAGUUUUCUACCUUCCCGAGAAAAGGCACUCAAACGAUUAGAUUUCCUCCUCCUCCGGUUGGCGCUGCCGCCGGUCCGCCCCGCCUCCAGUCACCUUUCGGCUAUGGAGGUGCGCACGACCUCGCCCCGGCCGGCGGGAGGGACCCGCUCUUUGUUCUUGAUAGAAUGAUAGGUUCAACGUGUUGGUUGGAGCUGAUUCUAAAUAUAAUUUUUUUAGAAGAUUAAAUAAGAUCUUUAAGAUAUCUUAGUAUUUGGAUCAUAUUAGAAAUUGUCAAGCGGCAUUAUGGAGGGACUACAGUUUUGCUCUCCAGUUUUCUCGCGUGAAACAAUUAUAUAAGUUAUAUUUGCAUAUUAUAUUUUCA